rnacentral:rRNA from 1 species
AUUGAACGCUGGCGGCAGGCCUAACACAUGCAAGUCGAGCGAGCGGCGGCCGGGUGAGUAAUGUCUGGGGAUCUGCCCGAUAGAGGGGGAUAACUACUGGAAACGGUGGCUAAUACCGCAUACCAUCGAAUGAACCCAUAGGGGAUUAGCUAGUUGGUGGGGUAAAGGCGCACCUAGGCGACGAUCUCUAGCUGGUCUGAGAGGAUGAUCAGCCACAAUGGAACUGAGACACGGCCCAGACUCCUACGGGAGGCAGCAGUGGGGAAUAGUGCACAAUGGGCGCAAGCCUGAUGCAGCCAUGCCGCGUGUAUGAAGAAGGCCUGAGGGUUGUAAAGUACUUUCAGCGGGGAGGCGUUACCCGCAGAAGAAGCACCGGCUAACUCCGUGCCAGCAGCCGCGGUAAUAC